rfam:Anolis carolinensis chromosome 5, whole genome shotgun sequence.
AUUCCAGGUAUGGUGACAUGGUGCCAAAGACAAUAGCUGGGAAGAUAUUCGGAUCAAUAUGUUCUUUGAGUGGAGUCUUAGUUAUUGCCCUUCCAGUUCCAGUCAUUGUCUCCAAU